UUUAGCGUGACUUUAUUAUCAUAAGAAAUGAAGUGUAUUGGAAAAUUUUGUGCGAAUCGGCCUUGUAAUUGCGCUCUAAUAGCUAAAAUAAGUUUUUUUUCGGUACCCGAAGGAUGCUGCAUUACGCGAUAAAUGGCUUAAAUUUUUCGAGUUCCGGAGACUUCCCGUUGCUGGAUUCUAUGCGGCUAUGUAGCGCAAGUAUUAUUCAAACAAAAAUCAGUAAAUAUGUAUAUAAUGAAAAGAACAAACUGCAAAAAAAACUCCGUUCCUGUGUAUUCGCACGUUACACAGUUAUAGGAGUUUAAGGAAAACAAAAAAGCACAUCCAAACGUUUUCUCCCAGCAAACAUUUGAUGAUGGAUCUAUUUCCCGCAGAAAACCAUUCUUGACCCUAUCGAACAACGUAAACAAUCUACAGAAGUUAGAUUAGAUGCAUAAAAUAUACCAUGCUGUAGCUUUCGGACAAAAAAUCAUCUCUUCAGAUCAACCAAAAGCAACACUACCGGCAACGCAACCAUCCGGAAAAAAUCAGACCGACGAUUCCGCCGGGAAUCCGACCUUUGGAUAUAGGUUGGUUACCCUAAUUGAACAGCAUUAUUCUUGUCAGGAAAGUUCAACUUACAAUAGCGCCUAUUUAUAAUUUGUUGUCUAAUGUUUAUCAACGAAAAUUCAAAAAAUAACAUUACUACCCAAAAAUAUUGCAGUCAAAUAAUGAUCGUGAUCGACUGGCUCAAAAUUUUGACAGUAAGCUGGCUCAAGAUGGCGUCUUCGCAUACACGGUAAUUUUUCACACUUCAGUCCAUUGUUCUGGAAGCCCGAGAGUUCAGUUGAACGGAGUCCGCCAUUUGUUAGUUGAAAAUUGUUAUUGCCUUUUCCUUCGAAUUAUUUUCAAAUUGAUAGAAUGGACAGUACAGUGAAUAAUAGUGACGGAAAUGUCAGUCAACCAAGCACAGCAAUGAACGAAAUUUUUUUUGUGACCAACGUGUAUUUGUUCCUGCUGUCCAACAAUUCGCUCGUUCAAAGGCAACAAACGGAGGAUAGCGAAUCGCUACCGGAACCAACGCAAAUUCUGCUGAUUGAUCGUGUCAAUUGUGCUUAACAACGAAUCGCUAUACUCCGGGCUGAUCGUGGUCCGGCACAAGAUGCUAUACCGGAUCUACGAUUGCACGGGAAAUUGUAACAUACCGAAACCGAAUGAGGGGGAAGAUGCAUCAAACGGUGCGGAAUCGUCCCCACUGGGCUACCGACCAACGUGUAAUUGUUCCUGCUGUCUGAAAGGUUGACCGGACUCGCUCGAUCAAGUACCAAACGGGAUACUGAGUCGCUACCGGAAGCGACACCAAUUCCGCUGAAAUCUAUCGUUUGUGUGUUACCACGAACCGCUAUACUCAGCGCUGAUCGUGCUCCGGAACGAAAUGCUACACCGGUUCUACGCUUGCAUGGGAAUUUUAAUCGUACCGAAACGGUAAGAGUCAAUGUCCAUCUGCUUCCAGUGUGCGGCAAUGAGAUUUCAGCUCGCCGGAUACACCACGGCCGCAGCUGCUUGUAGCAGGUGAAUUUGCUCAACACCAUAUUACGUUUAAAAGCGACCCAGACCGCCCGAAAUGUCACCUGAUUUGCUCUCUGAACGCGUUGCUCAUCCAGAGUUGCUUAUUUUGGCUAUUCGCAACUAACCUACACUGGAUACAAGUCGUUCCUGCAUCCGCCACCCGUGGACGCGCUCGAUGGCUCUCAACUGAGUUUGUGUAUGUAUGUGCCAUUAGGAGCCUUGAGGACAACCAUAACAACUGGGUGACUAAACAGAACAGCGGGACAUUAUGAUUUAGAGCAACACACCACCGUUCUAUGAAUCGUUGGGGUUUGCACCAUGCGAUGUAGAAUAAUAUAGUCAAUGAGACAAAAUAACUAAUCGAAUGAUUCACUGCGUAUAGUUUUUCUCAUGUUCCCAAUCUUCUAUUGGCAGAUUGGCGCUUUAAAUAAUCGGUGCAACGUCGUAACAUUAUUUAGUGGAUUCUUGGUGGAAAUGUGGUGCUUCCUGCCGAUGUUGGUGACUCGAAGGCAAACCGAAUAAAAGGGCUCCAGAUUGAAACAGUUAAACAUAUAGGGUAGAUGAUUUAAUUUUUCUCAAACUAUUAGGGUGCUACACUAUGUUCCGAUGAAUAUACUGGAAGAGGUAGAGAUUUUGUGCGAAGUAGGGAUACCAAUUUUUUAUCCCAUAAUUUGAACAGCAGACGAUGUGUUCGGUUAGGUACAAUAAAUAGAUAGGCUACGAUGAUAUAAAGAGAUGUAACCCUCUCAGUGGGAGGCACGAUUCUCGAGAGUCUAAGAUAGAAUAUUUAUGCAAUUUCACCCGAUCGAAGUGAAUUAUAACUCUUACAGAAACAUGGACAAAUAUAUUGCGAAUGAAUAAAUUAUGUUUCUAAAGUAAA